AUACGUAGGGUGCGAGCGUUGUCCGGAAUUACUGGGCGUAAAGAGCUCGUAGGUGGUUUGUCGCGUCGUCUGUGAAAUUCCGGGGCUUAACUCCGGGCGUGCAGGCGAUACGGGCAUAACUUGAGUACUGUAGGGGAGACUGGAAUUCCUGGUGUAGCGGUGAAAUGCGCAGAUAUCAGGAGGAACACCGGUGGCGAAGGCGGGUCUCUGGGCAGUAACUGACGCUUAGGAGCGAAAGCAUGGGUAGCGAACAGGAUUAGAUACCCUGGUAGUCCAUGCCGUAAACGGUGGGCGCUAGGUGUAGGGGUCUUCCACGACUUCUGUGCCGUAGCUAACGCAUUAAGCGCCCCGCCUGGGGAGUACGGCCGCAAGGCUAAAACUCAAAUGAAUUGACGGGG
rnacentral:rRNA from 1 species